rnacentral:rRNA from 1 species
GAUGAACGCUAGCGGCAGGCUUAACACAUGCAAGUCGAGGGGUAGAGGCUUUCGGGCCUUGAGACCGGCGCACGGGUGCGUAACGCGUAUGCAAUCUGCCUUUCACAGAGGGAUAGCCCAGAGAAAUUUGGAUUAAUACCUCAUAGCAUAACACAACCGCAUGGUUGAGUUAUUAAAGUCACAACGGUGAAAGAUGAGCAUGCGUCCCAUUAGUUAGUUGGUAAGGUAACGGCUUACCAAGACUUCGAUGGGUAGGGGUCCUGAGAGGGAGAUCCCCCACACUGGUACUGAGACACGGACCAGACUCCUACGGGAGGCAGCAGUGAGGAAUAUUGGUCAAUGGGCGCAAGCCUGAACCAGCCAUGCCGCGUGCAGGAUGACGGUCCUAUGGAUUGUAAACUGCUUUUGUACGAGAAGAAACACUCCUUCGUGAAGGAGCUUGACGGUAUCGUAAGAAUAAGGAUCGGCUAACUCCGUGCCAGCAGCCGCCGCGG